rnacentral:misc_RNA from 1 species
ACAACCUCAGCUCCUAAUUCCUCUUUGGAGGAAAAGGGAGUUGGAUUUGAGCGUUUCCAACAAACUCUUUUGCGGAGGAAGGAGGAUCGCUUGAAAUUGAGGUUCGGCCAGACGGUUAAUUCCCUGGGCUAAAAGCAUUUCAUACUUAAUCCCGUCAAACGGAUUAUUUCCUUUGCUGCAGCCAACUAAACAGGUAAUCGUCAGUGUCCGACUGAUGCAGGAAAAAGGUUGGGAAAGGAAAAAGACCUUUUGGUCUGACGCCUUCUCUUCUUUAAA